rnacentral:rRNA from 1 species
GACGAACCGUGCGAACGUUAUUCGGAAUCAUUGGGCUUAAAGGGCGCGUAGGCGGCGGCGUAAGUUGGAAGUGAAAUCCCAUCGGCUCAACCGUGGAAUUGCUCCCAGUACUGCGUCGCUCGAGGGGGAUAGGGGUCUGCGGAACUACCGGUGGAGCGGUGAAAUGUGUUGAUAUCGGUGGAACGCCAGUGGCGAAAGCGGCAGACUGGACCCUUCCUGACGCUGAUGCGCGAAAGCUAGGGGAGCAAACAGG